rnacentral:rRNA from 1 species
GUGGGGAAUUUUGCGCAAUGGGCUAACGCCUGACGCAGCAACGCCGCGUGGAGGAUGAAGGUCUUUGGAUUGUAAACUCCUGUCAGCAGGGAAAAAGCGACUCAGCCUAAUACGCUGGGGAGUUGAUUGUACCUGCAGAGGAAGCCCCGGCUAACUCUGUGCCAGCAGCCGCGGUAAUACAGAGGGGGCAAGCGUUAUUCGGAAUUAUUGGGCGUAAAGGGCGCGUAGGCGGCUUUUCAAGUGACGGGUGAAAUCCCUCGGCUUAACCGAGGAACUGCCUGUCAGACUGGAAGGCUUGAGACCGGGAGAGGUGAGUGGAAUUCCCAGUGUAGCGGUGAAAUGCGUAGAUAUUGGGAGGAACACCAGUGGCGAAGGCGGCUCACUGGACCGGAACUGACGCUGAGGCGCGAAAGCGUGGGGAGCAAA